UAAUCCUCGUUAAUUUUCUCUAACUAUUAAAGCUUAUAUACCGCCGUUUUAAGAAUAUUUCAGCAGAUUUUAUCCAAAAUUUCAUACAAAAUAAAUCAGGUCAAGGUGUAGCCUACAAGUCAGCAGAAAUAAGUUACCCUAAAAUUUAUUUAAGAAUGUUUAUAAAAAUAUUUAACUGAAAAAGAAUUUGAAAAUAAAAUCCUAUUAGUAUUUUUAUUUGAAUUAAUAAACAAAU
rnacentral:rRNA from 1 species